GGCCGACUAGCUCAGUUGGUUAGAGCGUCGUGCUAAUAUCUGUUACGCGAAGGUCUUGGGUUCGAUCCCCACGUUGGCCA
rnacentral:tRNA from 1 species